rnacentral:lncRNA from 1 species
CCCACAACCCCCCCCACCGCCCCCCGACCCCCUCUCUCCCCUCAGGUGAAGGCUGAGGACCCCCCGGAGCCGCCCCCCCACCUCCCCCCCACCCCACUGAUGUUGGGGGGAAACCAGCUGGGGGACCUGCAGCAGCUCCUGCAGCUCCAGCAGCUGGUUUUGGUGCCCGGCCCCCACGCGCUGCCGCCGUCCGCUCCGUUCCUGCUGCCCCCGACCCCACAGGGACAGCAAGGUGGGGCCAGGGGUCAGGGGUCACAGGGUCAGCAGGUCAUGGGGGGUUGGGGGGAGGGGGGCAUUGGGAGCCUUUGGGGUCAUUGGGCUCAUUGGGGGUCUUUGGGGUCAUUGGGGUCUUUCUUUGGGGGUGUUUAUUUGGGGUCUCUGUGGUCGUUAUUUGGGGUCUUUGGGGUCAUUAUUGGCGGUCUUUAUUUGGGGUCUUUGGGUUAUUGGGGUCAUCAUUUGGGGUCAUUAUUUGGGGUCUUUAUUUGGGGUCAUCAUUUGGGGUCAUUAUUUGGCGUCUUUGGGUCAUCGGUGUCUUCAUUUGGGGUCUUCAUCUGGGGUCUCUGCGGCCUUUAUUUGGGGUCUUUGGGAUCUUUGUGCCCUUGGAGGUAUUUGGGGGGGUCCGGGGGUCCCCCACUGGGCGUUGGGUUUUGGGGCUCCGUGUCUGGGCCCCCCCUGACACCGCGUCUUGCAGGGCUGCUGCCCACCCCCAACCUCUUUCAGCUACCUCAGCCGACCGGGGGGCUGCUGCCCGCCCCCCCCCGCGCGGGGCUGCCCCAGCAGGUAGGGAC